GAUCCCUGGGCUGGGAAGAUCCCUUGGAGGAGGAAAUCGCAACCCACUCCAGUAUUCUUGCCUGGAACAUCCCAUGAACAGAGGAGCCUGGCAGGCUACAGUCCAUGGGGUCACAAAGACCGGGACACAAAUGAGCCACUGUGAACAUGCACAGCACAGUUAGUGAAGCCGAGUGUCUCUCCACGGACUUUUUCUUUCCUACCUUAUUCUGUCAGUGUGUUCUCUAGACUUCCCUGUGCUAUUCAGUGGGUCCUUUUGGAUUAUCUACCAGGAUCACUUGGCUUCUCGCUCCUGCUGGUCCGGCGGCGAGGACUCCUGGUUCUCAUCCGGCUCCCCAGGUCCAGUUCCUGACAGGGAACCACGACUGUCUUCAGGACCGCUCACUGCUCUCUCUGUCCGAGAUCAUGGUCAUCGUUUUCGUCACAGAGACUGGAAAGGAUCUGUUCUGAGGACUGCCUGGAGUCUCUGCAUCACCAGCAUCUUGAUGUGAAACUGCAGUAAUCUGAAAGAGACAAAUUUAACAAGAGCCACAGACCAGGAAUAUGAUCAAAGUGGAAUAAAGUCCUGAACAUAUCGGAACCUCAGACCAUUUUCCUGUGUCAGUAAAGAUGCCCAGUUUUAGGCAUGUUUUUCCCCCCCGAUCCACCCAUUUAAAUAAAGGCCAGACACUGUCACAG
ensembl:lncRNA